AUUGAACGCUAGCGGGAUGCCUUACACAUGCAAGUCGAACGGCAGCGCGGACUUCGGUCUGGCGGCGAGUGGCGAACGGGUGAGUAAUGUAUCGGAACGUGCCCAGUAGCGGGGGAUAACUACUCGAAAGAGUAGCUAAUACCGCAUACGCCCUACGGGGGAAAGCUGGGAAUCGUAAGACCUAGCGUUGAUGGAGCGGCCGAUAUCUGAUUAGCUAGUUGGUGGGGUAAAGGCCUACCAAGGCGACGAU
rnacentral:rRNA from 1 species